GAGAAUCUGCCUUGGGGUCGGGGACAACCACUGGAAACGGUGGCUAAUACCGGAUAAGCCUUUGGGUAAAAGAUUUAUUGCCCCAAGAGGAGCUCGCGUCUGAUUAGCUAGUUGGCGAGGUAAAAGCUCACCAAGGCAGCGAUCAGUAGCUGGUCUGAGAGGACGAUCAGCCACACUGGGACUGAGACACGGCCCAGACUCCUACGGGAGGCAGCAGUGGGGAAUUUUCCGCAAUGGGCGAAAGCCUGACGGAGCAAGACCGCGUGAGGGAGGAAGGCUCUUGGGUUGUAAACCUCUUUUCUCAGGGAAGAAGCUCUGACGGUACCUGAGGAAUCAGCCUCGGCUAACUCCGUGCCAGCAGCCGCGGUAAUACGGAGGAGGCAAGCGUUAUCCGGAAUUAUUGGGCGUAAAGCGUCCGCAGGUGGCGACUCAAGUCUGCUGUCAAAGCACGGGGCUUAACUCCGUUAAGGCAGUGGAAACUGAAUAGCUAGAGUGCCGUAGGGGUAGAGGGAAUUCCCGGUGUAGCGGUGAAAUGCGUAGAGAUCGGGAAGAACAUCGGUGGCGAAAGCGCUCUACUGGACGGCAACUGACACUCAGGGACGAAAGCUAGGGGAGCGAAUGGGAUUAGAUACCCCAGUAGUCCUAGCUGUAAACGAUGGAUACUAGGUGUAGCUUGUAUCGACCCGAGCUGUGCCGAAGCUAACGCGUUAAGUAUCCCGCUUGGGGAGACCUAUGCAAGUGUGAAACUCAAAGUAUUUACGGGGGCCUGCACAAUCGGUGGAGUAUGUGGUUUUAUUCGUAUGCUACUCGAAGUACCUUACCUAGGGCUUGACAUGUCCGGAAUCCCGGGUGAAAGCUGGGUAGUGCCUUCGGUAUCCGGUACUCAGGUGGUGCAUGGCUGUCGUCAGCUCGUGUCGUGAGAUGUUGGGUUAAGUCCCGCAUACGAGCGCAACCCUCGUCUUUAGUUGCCAGCAUUUAGUUGGGCACUCUUAGAGAUUCUGCCGGUGACAAACCGGUAGGAAGGUGGGGAUGACGUCAAGUCUAGCUAUGCCCCUUACGCUCUGGGCGUACUACUACGUACUACAAUGGUCGGGACAGAGGGCAGCGAACCUGCGAAGGCAAGCUAAUCCCAGCAUACUCGGCCUCAGUUCAGAUCGCAGGCUGCAACUCGCCUGCGUGAAGGAGGAAUCGCUAGU
rnacentral:rRNA from 1 species